UACGAAGGGGGCUAGCGUUGCUCGGAAUCACUGGGCGUAAAGGGCGUGUAGGCGGUUCGGUAAGUGGGAUGUGAAAUCCCUCGGCUCACCCGAGGACCUGCAUCCCAUACUGCUGAGCUUGAGUACAGGAGAGGGUGGGGGAAUUCCUGGUGUAGCGGUGAAAUGCGUAGAUAUCUGGAGGAAUACCGGUGGCGAAGGCGGCAUCCUGGACCGACAUUGACGCUGAUGAGCGAAAGCUAGGGGAGCAAACGGG
rnacentral:rRNA from 1 species